rnacentral:rRNA from 1 species
GACGAACGCUGGCGGCGUGCCUAAUACAUGCAAGUCGAGCGCAGGAAGCUGACGGAACUCUUCGGAGGGAAGGCAGUGGUAUGAGCGGCGGACGGGUGAGUAACACGUAAGGAACCUGCCUCAAGGAUUGGGAUAACUCCGAGAAAUCGGAGCUAAUACCGGAUAGUUCAACGGACCGCAUGGUCCGCUGAUGAAAGGCGCUCCGGCGUCACCUUGAGAUGGCCUUGCGGUGCAUUAGCUAGUUGGUGGGGUAACGGCCCACCAAGGCGACGAUGCAGAGGCGACCUGAGAGGGUGCUCGGCCACACUGGGACUGAGCCACGGCCCAGACUCCUACGGGAGGAAGCAGUAGGGAAUCUUCCACAUUGGACGAAAGUCUGAUGGAGCAACGCCGCGUGAGUGAUGAAGGUUUUCGGAUCGUAAAACUCUGUUGUAAGGGAAGAACACGUACGAGAGGGAAUGCUCGUACCUUGACGGUACCUUACGAGAAAGCCACGGCUAACUACGUGCCAGCAGCCGCCGUAA